GGUGCGAGCUAACUGCAGUCGAGCGGAUGACGGGAGCUUGCUCCUUGAUUAGCGGCGGACGGGUGAGUAAUGCCUAGGAAUCUGCCUGGUAGUGGGGGACAACGUUAAGAAAGGAACGCUAAUACCGCAUACGUCCUACGGGAGAAAGCAGGGGACCUUCGGGCCUUGCGCUAUCAGAUGAGCCUAGGUCGGAUUAGCUAGUUGGUGGGGUAAUGGCUCACCAAGGCGACGAUCCGUAACUGGUCUGAGAGGAUGAUCAGUCACACUGGAACUGAGACACGGUCCAGACUCCUACGGGAGGCAGCAGUGGGGAAUAUUGGACAAUGGGCGAAAGCCUGAUCCAGCCAUGCCGCGUGUGUGAAGAAGGUCUUCGGAUUGUAAAGCACUUUAAGUUGGGAGGAAGGGCAGUAAGCUAAUACCUUGCUGUUUUGACGUUACCGACAGAAUAAGCACCGGCUAACUCUGUGCCAGCAGCCGCGGUAAUACAGAGGGUGCAAGCGUUAAUCGGAAUUACUGGGCGUAAAGCGCGCGUAGGUGGUUUGUUAAGUUGGAUGUGAAAGCCCCGGGCUCAACCUGGGAACUGCAUCCAAAACUGGCAAGCUAGAGUACGGUAGAGGGUGGUGGAAUUUCCUGUGUAGCGGUGAAAUGCGUAGAUAUAGGAAGGAACACCAGUGGCGAAGGCGACCACCUGGACUGAUACUGACACUGAGGUGCGAAAGCGUGGGGAGCAAACAGGAUUAGAUACCCUGGUAGUCCACGCCGUAAACGAUGUCAACUAGCCGUUGGGAUCCUUGAGAUUUUAGUGGCGCAGCUAACGCAUUAAGUUGACCGCCUGGGGGAGUACCG
rnacentral:rRNA from 1 species